GACGAACGCUGGCGGCGUGCUUAACACAUGCAAGUCGAACGGAAAGGCCCUGCUUUUGUGGGGUGCUCGAGUGGCGAACGGGUGAGUACCACGUGAGUAACCUGCCCUUGACUUUGGGAUAACUUCAGGAAACUGGGGCUAAUACCGGAUGGGAGCUCCUGCUGCAUGGUGGGGGUUGGAAAGUUUCGGCGGUUGGGGAUGGACUCGCGGCUUAUCAGCUUGUUGGUGGGGUGGUGGCUUACCAAGGCUUUGACGGGUGGCCGGCCUGAGAGGGUGACCGGCCACAUUGGGACUGAGAUACGGCCCAGACUCCUACGGGGGGCAGCAGUGGGGAAUAUUGCACAAUGGGCGGAAGCCUGAUGCAGCGACGCCGCGUGCGGGAUAACGGCCUUCGGGUUGUAAACCGCUUUCGCCUGUGACGAAGCGUGAAUGACGGUAAUGGGUAAAGAAGCACCGGCUAACUACGUG
rnacentral:rRNA from 1 species